rnacentral:rRNA from 1 species
GAUGAACGCUAGCUACAGGCUUAACACAUGCAAGUCGAGGGGAAACGACAUCGAAAGCUUGCUUUUGAUGGGCGUCGACCGGCGCACGGGUGAGUAACGCGUAUCCAACCUGCCCAUCACUUGGGAAUAACCUUGCGAAAGUAAGACUAAUACCCAAUGAUAUCCCACGAAGGCAUCGGAAUGGGAUUAAAGAUUUAUCGGUGAUGGAUGGGGAUGCGUCUGAUUAGCUUGUUGGCGGGGUAACGGCCCACCAAGGCAACGAUCAGUAGGGGUUCUGAGAGGAAGGUCCCCCACAUUGGAACUGAGACACGGUCCAAACUCCUACGGGAGGCAGCAGUGAGGAAUAUUGGUCAAUGGGCGAGAGCCUGAACCAGCCAAGUAGCGUGCAGGAAGACGGCCCUAUGGGUUGUAAACUGCUUUUAUAAGGGAAUAAAGUGGGUUACGUGUGACUUUUUGCAUGUACCUUAUGAAUAAGGACCGGCUAAUUCCGUG